AUUGAACGCUGGCGGCAGGCUUAACACAUGCAAGUCGAGCGGAGAUGAGGUGCUUGCACCUUAUCUUAGCGGCGGACGGGUGAGUAAUGCUUAGGAAUCUGCCUAUUAGUGGGGGACAACAUUCCGAAAGGAAUGCUAAUACCGCAUACGUCCUACGGGAGAAAGCAGGGGAUCGUCGGACCUUGCGCUAAUAGAUGGGCCUAAGUCGGAUUAGCUAGUUGGUGGGGUAAAGGCCUACCAAGGCGACGAUCUGUAGCGGGUCUGAGAGGAUGAUCCGCCACACUGGGACUGAGACACGGCCCAGACUCUUACGGGAGGCAGCAGUGGGGAAUAUUGGACAAUGGGGGGAACCCUGAUCCAGCCAUGCCGCGUGUGUGAAGAAGGCCUUAUGGUUGUAAAGCACUUUAAGCGAGGAGGAGGCUACUGAGACUAAUACUCUUGGAUAGUGGACGUUACUCGCAGAAUAAGCACCGGCUAACUCUGUGCCAGCCGCCGCCGUAAUAC
rnacentral:rRNA from 1 species